AGGGGAGUCUUCGGACCUUGCGUUAAUUGAUGAGCCUAGGUCGGAUUAGCUAGUUGGUGAGGUAAAGGCUCACCAAGGCGACGAUCUGUAGCGGGUCUGAGAGGAUGAUCCGCCACACUGGGACUGAGACACGGCCCAGACUCCUACGGGAGGCAGCAGUGGGGAAUAUUGGACAAUGGGCGGAAGCCUGAUCCAGCCAUGCCGCGUGUGUGAAGAAGGCCUUUAGGUUGUAAAGCACUUUAAGCGGGGAGGAGGCUACCUGGGAUUAAUACCCUGGAGUAGUGGACGUUACCCGCAGAAUAAGCACCGGCUAACUCUGUG
rnacentral:rRNA from 1 species